rnacentral:rRNA from 1 species
UGCCCCGAAAACCUAAGGAUUCCUCUGGAAGGUUCGUCCACGGAGGGUGAGUCAGGACCUAAGGCGAGGCUGAAAAGCGUAGUCGAUGGAUAACAGGUUAAUAUUCCUGUACUAUUUAUUAUUGAUAACGAGGGACGGAGAAAGCUAAGUCAGCCGGAUGUUGGUUACCGGUUUAAACUUUCAAUGUGAUGAGGAAUGGUGAAAACAUUCUGAGCAAAGGAGUGAAUACAAAGCACUAAGGUGCUAAAGUGAUUGAUGUUAUGCUUCCUAGAAAAGCUCGAUAUAUCUCAAGUAAUAAAUACCUGUACCCGAAACCGACACAGGUAGGUAGGUAGAGUAUACCAAGGGGCGCGAGAUAACUCUCUCUAAGGAACUCGGCAAAAUAGCCCCGUAACUUCGGAAGAAGGGGUACCCUUGUAGGGUUGCAAUAACCAGACCCAAGCGACUGUUUAUCAAAAACACAGGUCUCCGCUAAGUCGUAAGACAAUGUAUGGGGGCUGACGCCUGCCCAGUGCCGGAAGGUUAAAGAAGUUGGUUAGUAUUAUACGAAGCUGACAACUGAAGCCCCGGUGAACGGCGGCCGUAACAAUAACGGUCCUAAGGUAGCGAAAUUCCUUGUCGGGUAAGUUCCGACCCGCACGAAAGGCGUAACGAUUUGGGUACUGUCUCGGAGAGAGACUCGGCGAAAUAGACUUGUCUGUGAAGAUGCGGACUACCUGCACCUGGACAGAAAGACCCUAUGAAGCUUUACUGUAACUUGGAAUUGGGUUUGGGCUUUUCUUGCGCAGCAUAGGUGGGAGGCUAAGAAAAUAAGUUUAUGGAUUUAUUGGAGCCAUCAGUGAGAUACCACUCUAGAAAAGCUAGGAUUCUAACCUUGAAAGCCGUUAUCCGGCCAAGGAACAGUUUCAGGCGGGCAGUUUGACUGGGGCGGUCGCCUCCUAAAAAGUAACGGAGGCGUGCAAAGGUUCCCUCAGGCUGGUUGGAAAUCAGUCCUAGAGUGUAAAGGCAUAAGGGAGCUUGACUGCAAGACCUACAAGUCGAGCAGGGACGAAAGUCGGCCUUAGUGAUCCGACAGUGCCGAGUGGAAGGGCUGUCGCUCAACGGAUAAAAGUUA